GUGUCAGCAGCCGCGGUAAGACGAACCGAGCGAACGUUGUUCGGAAUCACUGGGCUUAAAGGGCGCGUAGGCGGGCUGUCAAGUCUGGGGUGAAAUCCCGCGGCUCAACCGUGGAACUGCCUUAGAUACUGACGGCCUCGAGGGAGAUAGGGGCGAGCGGAACUGUGAGUGGAGCGGUGAAAUGCGUUGAUAUUCACAGGAACUCCGGUGGCGAAGGCGGCUCGCUGGAUCUUUUCUGACGCUGAGGCGCGAAAGCUAGGGGAGCAAACGGGAUUAGAUACCCCCGUAGUCC
rnacentral:rRNA from 1 species